GACGUAGGUGGCAAGCGUUGUUCGGAAUCACUGGGCAUAAAGCGCGCGUAGGCGGCUAUGUCAGUCGGGUGUGAAAGCCCUCGGCUCAACCGAGGAACUGCGCCCGAUACUGCUUGGCUUGAGGAUCGGAGGGGAGAGUGGAAUUCCCGGUGGAGCGGUGAAAUGCGUAGAGAUCGGGAAGAACGCCGGCGGCGAAAGCGACUCUCUGGUCGACCCCUGACGCUGAGGCGCGAAAGCUAGGGGAGCAAACGGG
rnacentral:rRNA from 1 species